AUUGAACGCUGGCGGCAGGCCUAACACAUGCAAGUCGAACGGUAACAGGAAGCAGCUUGCUGCUUCGCUGACGAGUGGCGGACGGGUGAGUAAUGUCUGGGAAACUGCCUGAUGGAGGGGGAUAACUACUGGAAACGGUAGCUAAUACCGCAUAACGUCGCAAGACCAAAGAGGGGGACCUUCGGGCCUCUUGCCAUCGGAUGUGCCCAGAUGGGAUUAGCUAGUAGGUGGGGUAACGGCUCACCUAGGCGACGAUCCCUAGCUGGUCUGAGAGGAUGACCAGCCACACUGGAACUGAGACACGGUCCAGACUCCUACGGGAGGCAGCAGUGGGGAAUAUUGCACAAUGGGCGCAAGCCUGAUGCAGCCAUGCCGCGUGUAUGAAGAAGGCCUUCGGGUUGUAAAGUACUUUCAGCGGGGAGGAAGGUGUUGAGGUUAAUAACCUCAGCAAUUGACGUUACCCGCAGAAGAAGCACCGGCUAACUCCGUGCCAGCAGCCGCGGUAAUACGGAGGGUGCAAGCGUUAAUCGGAAUUACUGGGCGUAAAGCGCACGCAGGCGGUCUGUCAAGUCGGAUGUGAAAUCCCCGGGCUCAACCUGGGAACUGCAUUCGAAACUGGCAGGCUAGAGUCUUGUAGAGGGGGGUAGAAUUCCAGGUGUAGCGGUGAAAUGCGUAGAGAUCUGGAGGAAUACCGGUGGCGAAGGCGGCCCCCUGGACAAAGACUGACGCUCAGGUGCGAAAGCGUGGGAGCAAACAGGAUUAGAUACCCUGGUAGUCCACGCCGUAAACGAUGUCGACUUGGAGGUUGUGCCCUUGAGGCGUGGCUUCCGGAGCUAACGCGUUAAGUCGACCGCCUGGGGAGUACGGCCGCAAGGUUAAAACUCAAAUGAAUUGACGGGGGCCCGCACAAGCGGUGGAGCAUGUGGUUUAAUUCGAUGCAACGCGAAGAACCUUACCUACUCUUGACAUCCAGAGAACUUAGCAGAGAUGCUUUGGUGCCUUCGGGAACUCUGAGACAGGUGCUGCAUGGCUGUCGUCAGCUCGUGUUGUGAAAUGUUGGGUUAAGUCCCGCAACGAGCGCAACCCUUAUCCUUUGUUGCCAGCGGUCCGGCCGGGAACUCAAAGGAGACUGCCAGUGAUAAACUGGAGGAAGGUGGGGAUGACGUCAAGUCAUCAUGGCCCUUACGAGUAGGGCUACACACGUGCUACAAUGGCGCAUACAAAGAGAAGCGACCUCGCGAGAGCAAGCGGACCUCAUAAAGUGCGUCGUAGUCCGGAUUGGAGUCUGCAACUCGACUCCAUGAAGUCGGAAUCGCUAGUAAUCGUAGAUCAGAAUGCCACGGUGAAUACGUUCCCGGGCCUUGUACACACCGCCCGUCACACCAUGGGAGUGGGUUGCAAAAGAAGUAGGUAGCUUAACCUUCGGGAGGGCGCUUACCACUUUGUGAUUCAUGACUGGGGUG
rnacentral:rRNA from 1 species